rnacentral:rRNA from 1 species
AUUGAACGCUGGCGGCAUGCCUUACACAUGCAAGUCGAACGGCAGCAUGAUCUAGCUUGCUAGAUUGAUGGCGAGUGGCGAACGGGUGAGUAAUACAUCGGAACGUGCCCUGUAGUGGGGGAUAACUAGUCGAAAGAUUAGCUAAUACCGCAUACGACCUGUGGGUGAAAGUGGGGGACCGCAAGGCCUCAUGCUAUAGGAGCGGCCGAUGUCUGAUUAGCUAGUUGGUGAGGUAAAGGCUCACCAAGGCGACGAUCAGUAGCUGGUCUGAGAGGACGAUCAGCCACACUGGGACUGAGACACGGCCCAGACUCCUACGGGAGGCAGCAGUGGGGAAUUUUGGACAAUGGGGGCAACCCUGAUCCAGCAAUGCCGCGUGUGUGAAGAAGGCCUUCGGGCUGUAAAGCACUUUUGUCCGGAAAGAAAUCGCACUUACUAAUAUUAGGUGUGGAUGACGGUACCGGAAGAAUAAGGACCGGCUAACUACGUGCCAGCCGCCGCCGUAAAAC